GUAUUUGUAGUUUAACGGGUAAAACAGGGGACUUUUUUAAAUUCAAAUCUGCCUGAUACUAUUAAGAACAAUCUCCAGUUGUAGGUUCGAGUCCUGCCAAAUACA
rnacentral:tRNA from 1 species